rnacentral:rRNA from 1 species
AUUGAACGCUGGCGGCAUGCCUUACACAUGCAAGUCGAACGGUAACAGGUUAAGCUGCCGAGUGGCGAACGGGUGAGUAAUGUAUCGGAACGUGCCCAGUCGUGGGGGAUAACUGCUCGAAAGAGCAGCUAAUACCGCAUACGACCUGAGGGUGAAAGCGGGGGAUCGCAAGACCUCGCGCGAUUGGAGCGGCCGAUAUCAGAUUAGGUAGUUGGUGAGGUAAAGGCUCACCAAGCCGACGAUCUGUAGCUGGCCUGAGAGGACGACCAGCCACACUGGGACUGAGACACGGCCCAGACUCCUACGGGAGGCAGCAGUGGGGAAUUUUGGACAAUGGGCGCAAGCCUGAUCCAGCCAUGCCGCGUGCGGGAAGAAGGCCUUCGGGUUGUAAACCGCUUUUGUCAGGGAAGAAAAGGUUCUGGCUAAUACCUGGGACUCAUGACGGUACCUGAAGAAUAAGCACCGGCUAACUACGUG